GGAAAGGUGAAAAGCACCCCGGAAGGGGAGUGAAACAGUUCCUGAAACCGUGUGCCUACAAGUAGUUAGAGCCCGUUAAUGGGUGAUAGCGUGCCUUUUGUAGAAUGAACCGGCGAGUUACGAUUUGUUGCAAGGUUAAGCGGAAAAAGCGGAGCCGUAGCGAAAGCGAGUCUGAAUAGGGCGCAUAAGUAACAGGUCGUAGACCCGAAACCAGGUGAUCUACCCAUGUCCAGGAUGAAGGUAAGGUAAUACUUACUGGAGGUCCGAACCCACGCACGUUGAAAAGUGCGGGGAUGAGGUGUGGGUAGCGGAGAAAUUCCAAUCGAACUUGGAGAUAGCUGGUUCUCUCCGAAAUAGCUUUAGGGCUAGCCUCGAGGUAAAGAGUCAUGGAGGUAGAGCACUGUUUGGACUAGGGGCCCUUCUCGGGUUACCGAAUUCAGAUAAACUCCGAAUGCCAUGUACUUAUACUCGGGAGUCAGACUGCGAGUGAUAAGAUCCGUAGUCGAAAGGGAAACAGCCCAGACCACCAGUUAAGGUCCCCAAAUAUAUGUUAAGUGGAAAAGGAUGUGGGGUUGCUUAGACAACCAGGAUGUUGGCUUAGAAGCAGCCACCAUUGAAAGAGUGCGUAAUAGCUCACUGGUCGAGUGACCCCGCGCCGAAAAUGUACCGGGGCUAAACAUAUUACCGAAACUGUGGAUGAACCUCUUUAGAGGUUCGUGGUAGGAGAGCGUUCUAAGGGCGGUGAAGUCAGACCGGAAGGACUGGUGGAGCGCUUAGAAGUGAGAAUGCCGGUAUGAGUAGCGAAAGAAGGGUGAGAAUCCCUUCCACCGAAUAUCUAAGGUUUCCUGAGGAAGGCUCGUCCGCUCAGGGUUAGUCGGGACCUAAGCCGAGGCCGAUAGGCGUAGGCGAUGGACAACAGGUAGAGAUUCCUGUACCAGUGCUAAUUGUUUAACCGAUGGGGUGACACAGAAGGAUAGGGAAUCGCACGAAUGGAAAUGUGCGUCCAAGCAGUGAGUGUGAGAAGUAGGCAAAUCCGCUUCUCGCGAAGCAUGAGCUGUGAUGGGGAAGGAAAUUAAGUACGGAAGUUCCUGAUUUCACGCUGUCAAGAAAAGCCUCUAGGAAGAGUAGUACUGCCCGUACCGCAAACCGACACAGGUAGAUGAGGAGAGAAUCCUAAGGUGAGCGAGAGAACUCUCGUUAAGGAACUCGGCAAAAUGACCCCGUAACUUCGGGAGAAGGGGUGCUCUAUUAGGGUGCAAGCCCGAGAGAGCCGCAGUGAAUAGGCCCAGGCGACUGUUUAGCAAAAACACAGGUCUCUGCAAAACCGUAAGGUGACGUAUAGGGGCUGACGCCUGCCCGGUGCUGGAAGGUUAAGAGGAGUGCUUAGCUUCGGCGAAGGUACGAAUUGAAGCCCCAGUAAACGGCGGCCGUAACUAUAACGGUCCUAAGGUAGCGAAAUUCCUUGUCGGGUAAGUUCCGACCCGCACGAAAGGCGCAACGAUCUGGGCACUGUCUCAACGAGAGACUCGGUGAAAUUAUAGUACCUGUGAAGAUGCAGGUUACCCGCGACAGGACGGAAAGACCCCGUGGAGCUUUACUGCAACCUGAUAUGGAAUGUUUGUACCGCUUGUACAGGAUAGGUAGGAGCCGAAGAGACGUGUGCGCUAGCAUACGAGGAGGCAAUGGUGGGAUACUACCCUGGCUGUAUGACCAUUCUAACCCGCCACGCUUAGCGCGUGGGGAGACAGUGUCAGGUGGGCAGUUUGACUGGGGCGGUCGCCUCCUAAAGAGUAACGGAGGCGCCCAAAGGUUCCCUCAGAAUGGAUGGAAAUCAUUCGCAGAGUGUAAAGGCACAAGGGAGCUUGACUGCGAGACUGACAAGUCGAGCAGGGACGAAAGUCGGGCUUAGUGAUCCGGUGGUUCCGCAUGGAAGGGCCAUCGCUCAACGGAUAAAAGCUACCCCGGGGAUAACAGGCUUAUCUCCCCCAAGAGUCCACAUCGACGGGGAGGUUUGGCACCUCGAUGUCGGCUCGUCGCAUCCUGGGGCUGUAGUCGGUCCCAAGGGUUGGGCUGUUCGCCCAUUAAAGCGGCACGCGAGCUGGGUUCAGAACGUCGUGAGACAGUUCGGUCCCUAUCCGUCGCGGGCGCAGGAAAUUUGAGAGGAGCUGUCCUUAGUACGAGAGGACCGGGAUGGACACACCGCUGGUGUACCAGUUGUUCCGCCAGGAGCAUCGCUGGGUAGCUAUGUGUGGCAGGGAUAAACGCUGAAAGCAUCUAAGCGUGAAGCCCCCCUCAAGAUGAGAUUUCCCAUUUCUUCGGAAAGUAAGAUCCCUGAAAGAUGAUCAGGUAGAUAGGUUUGGAGUGGAAGUGUAGCGAUACAUGGAGCGGACAAAUACUAAUCGAUCGAGGACUUAACCAAAA
rnacentral:rRNA from 1 species